CUCCAUCCCCAGUGUGGGAGGGCAGGAGGAUAACAAUAAAACCAAGACCAAACAGAAUGGAGAAUGGGAAGUAAUUUAAUGGUAUAGUGUUUCAGUUUUGGAAGAUGGAAAAGUUCUGGAGAGCCAUUGCGCAAUAACGGAAAUAUACUUAAUAUUGAACUGCACAGAAGGCUUAAAAAUUACAUAGCAAAUUAGCUGAGCAUGGGAGCGCGCACACAGACACGCACACCCGCCCCAAUUUAACACACGACACACACACACACACACACACACACACACACACACACACACACACACCCCACAACACAAGACACGGCGCCUAGUUGGCGCGGGUCCAGCCAGCCGGGGACUUUCUUGCGCCUGGCCACCCGGGUCGCCUGUAAUUGUUAUUGCUGUUGGUUUAUCAAAAAUCACAAAACAUCUCUGACUAUUUGACGGAAGAACAUAUUUUCAAUACCUCUCUUUUACUUCGUUUUAUUCCUCUUUGGUUGAACGAUGGAGAAAAUGUAGGGCGUAGAAUCAGGCAUAUGAGAAGACAACCACGCCCGUCAGGCCCCCAACCCGGGGCCUCCAUAAAUAGCUCUGGCGGGCCUCUGCCACUCCCUUUCUUCUGUGCAGAGGGUUUCAUGUGGCCCCUGUGCUUACCUUCCCGGCCUCCUGGGCCUUACAGCAGAACGCGCUGCGGAGCCGGGGGAAGACACCGAGUCCGCUCUUGUGCAUCAGCCCUCUUGCAGGUUCCUGGUCCUUGA
rnacentral:lncRNA from 1 species